rnacentral:rRNA from 1 species
UUAGAGUUUGAUCCUGGCUCAGGAUGAACGCUAGCUACAGGCUUAACACAUGCAAGUCGAGGGGAAACGACAUCGAAAGCUUGCUUUUGAUGGGCGUCGACCGGCGCACGGGUGAGUAACGCGUAUCUAACCUGCCCAUCACUUGGGGAUAACCUUGCGAAAGUAAGACUAAUACCCAAUGACAUCUAUAGAAGACAUCUGAAAUGGAUUAAAGAUUUAUCGGUGAUGGAUGGGGAUGCGUCUGAUUAGCUUGUUGGCGGGGUAACGGCCCACCAAGGCGACGAUCAGUAGGGGUUCUGAGAGGAAGGUCCCCCACAUUGGAACUGAGACACGGUCCAAACUCCUACGGGAGGCAGCAGUGAGGAAUAUUGGUCAAUGGGCGAGAGCCUGAACCAGCCAAGUAGCGUGCAGGACGACGGCCCUAUGGGUUGUAAACUGCUUUUAUAAGGGAAUAAAGUGAGUCUCGUGAGACUUUUUGCAUGUACCUUAUGAAUAAGGACCGGCUAAUUCCGUGCCAGCAGCCGCGGUAAUACGGAAGGUCCGGGCGUUAUCCGGAUUUAUUGGGUUUAAAGGGAGCGUAGGCCGGAGAUUAAGCGUGUUGUGAAAUGUAGUGGCUCAACCUCUGCACUGCAGCGCGAACUGGUCUUCUUGAGUACGCACAACGUGGGCGGAAUUCGUGGUGUAGCGGUGAAAUGCUUAGAUAUCACGAAGAACUCCGAUUGCGAAGGCAGCUCACGGGAGCGCAACUGACGCUGAAGCUCGAAAGUGCGGGUAUCGAACAGGAUUAGAUACCCUGGUAGUCCGCACGGUAAACGAUGGAUGCCCGCUGUUGGCCUGAAUAGGUCAGCGGCCAAGCG